rnacentral:misc_RNA from 1 species
GAUCAGCAAAUUUGCUGGAAUAACAUGCAAAACCCUGCAGAAAACCCACUAGCAGACUUUAUGCUGUCACCUAGUCACAUGAACACUGCAUAUGUUAAUUCUGUUGAACAAGAACGACAAAAUUUGGGUGGAUGGAGUUUGGGUGAACCCAGUUCUAGUGGUGCACAAAAUGAUGCAAGUCACGAAGAGCAGAAAUCAGAACGGGGAUGUUCAUCUUCGGCAGGUAGUUGUGCUGCUGGAGCUGGUCGAAGGUUAGGAGAAAGGCAAUAUGAACCAGGCAAUAUUCUUCCACUGGACACUGUUAAUGUGAACCCUCAAUUUGUGCAGAGUUCCAAUUCCAAUACAAUUCCACAGAAUCUCAACCUGAAUGCCGGUUUUGUGGGUCAUGGUGGUGAUAAUGGUCAAAUCAUGGAAAGCUCUAAUACGUACAAGUCUGGUGGGGCAGACAAUGAGCGGGUUCUUCCAUCUAGUGGUUCUCACACAUUUCUGCAUCCUUCUGGAAAUAGUGAAUACAUGUUGGAAGAGGGUGAUGGUAGACCCGUUUGUUCAUUGGAUGGUCACCGUCAUUCAUGCAAAAGAAAGGCAAUCGAGGGACAUAUCGGACAGUCCUCUAUGAGUGGAAGUUCUAGUUUCUUUCAGUGCUCAGAG